UACAGAGGUCUCAAGCGUUGCUCGGAUUCAUUGGGCGUAAAGGGUGCGUAGGCGGCGCGGUAAGUCGGGUGUGAAAUCUCGGGGCUUAACUCCGAAACUGCAUUCGAUACUGCCGUGCUUGAGGACUGGAGAGGAGACUGGAAUUUACGGUGUAGCGGUGAAAUGCGUAGAUAUCGUAAGGAAGACCAGUGGCGAAGGCGGGUCUCUGGACAGUUCCUGACGCUGAGGCACGAAGGCCAGGGGAGCAAACGGG
rnacentral:rRNA from 1 species